rnacentral:sRNA from 1 species
AUAAGCUGCUUGCUGACACCAUCACUAAAGGUCUGAAGAGAAAUGCUUUCUGUGUUAGCAAUCUCUUGUCUAGUAGGGACUAUCUAAAUUAUGAUCUUGAUAGAAUGUGAGCACAUUUCAAUCUCAAAAAAACACCUAUCUGAGCAAACAAUACAAAUAAUGGCUCCACUGCUCCAGGUCUAUUGAUGAGGAUGCAGGAAGAGCUACUUCAGGCCUAGUAGGGCCAGGAAGAUUCAGACUUUGAUGCGGGGCACUAAGUGGAGUUACAAACCAAGAAUUAAAGGAUUGUUUCAAGAUUUCAGUUAAUUUCCUCUUAAUUAAACGAUUAAUACAG